UACGUAGGUGGCAAGCGUUGUCCGGAUUUACUGGGCGUAAAGAGCGCGCAGGCGGUCGAUCAAGUCGCGUGUGAAAGCCCCCGGCUCAACUGGGGAGGGUCACGCGAUACUGAUCGACUCGAAGGCAGGAGAGGGUAGUGGAAUUCCCGGUGUAGUGGUGAAAUGCGUAGAUAAUCGGGAGGAACACCAGUGGCGAAGGCGACUACCUGGCCUGUUCUUGACGCUGAGGCGCGAAAGCUAGGGGAGCAAACGGG
rnacentral:rRNA from 1 species